GACGAACGCUGGCGGCGUGCUUAACACAUGCAAGUCGAACGAAGUGGCGAACGGGUGAGUAACGCGUAAUCAACCUGCCCUUCAGAGGGGGACAACAGUUGGAAACGACUGCUAAUACCGCAUACUGAAGAAGGGGAUUGCGUCGGAUUAGGUAGUUGGAGGGGGAACGGCCCACCAAGGCGAUGGUCAGUAGCCGGUCGUGGAGGAUGAACGGCCACAAUGGGACCGAGACACGGCCCCGACUGCUACGGGAGGCAGCCGUGGGGAAGUUUCCGAAAUGGACGAAAGUCUGACGGAGCAACGCCGCGGGAGUGAUGACGGCCUUCGGGUUGGAAAGCUCUGUUAAGCGGGACGCGGUACCGGAAUAGAAAGCCACGGCUAACUACGUGCCAGCCGCCGCGGUAAUAC
rnacentral:rRNA from 1 species